UACGUAGGGUGCAAGCGUUGUCCGGAAUUAUUGGGCGUAAAGCGCACGUAGGCGGCUUGGCAAGUCGGAUGUGAAAGCCCACGGCUCAACCAUGGAAGUGCAUCCGAAACUGCUGAGCUUGAGUACUUAAGAGGAUCGCGGAAUUCCCGGUGUAGAGGUGAAAUUCGUAGAUAUCGGGAGGAACACCAGUGGCGAAGGCGGCGAUCUGGGAAGAUGCUGACGCUGAGGUGCGAAAGCGUGGGGAGCAAACAGG
rnacentral:rRNA from 1 species